UACAGAGGUCUCAAGCGUUGUUCGGAUUCAUUGGGCGUAAAGGGUGCGUAGGUGGCGCUGUAAGUCGGGUGUGAAAUUUCGGAGCUUAACUCCGAAACUGCAUUCGAUACUGCGGUGCUUGAGGACUGGAGAGGAGACUGGAAUUCAUGGUGUAGCAGUGAAAUGCGUAGAGAUCAAGUGGAACACCAGUGGCGAAGGCGAGUCUCUGGACAUUUCCUGACGCUGAGGCACGAAAGCCAGGGGAGCAAACGGG
rnacentral:rRNA from 1 species